GUUAUAUAACAUAUUAAUAUUUUUCGAAUAGUUUUAGAUCAAAUUAAAUCUAGAAUUUAGUACUUCUUGUUGUUGGAUAUUAUGCAGAAAAGAACUUAUGACCAAUUUAGAAUUCACUUCAUCUUUCAUUGAUCAUGUGAAAUUAAGAUUUCUUGAUCACAAUGAUGUGGAACAACUUAAAAAAUUAUGCACAGAUUGGUUUCCAAUAACAUAUCCAGAUGGUUGGUAUAAAGCUGUUACAAAAAACCCGAAGUUUUUCUCUCUUGCAGCUAUUUACAACAAUGUGAUCAUUGGUGUCAUCGUUGCUGAGAUCAGAAACAGAGCAAAAGAAGAUGAAGAUAUUCUUGGUUAUUGGUAUCCUUCUGACACUAAAGUUGGGUACAUUUUGGUAUUAGGUACGUCCAAAGAAUAUAGAAGAAAGGGUAUUGCUUCAAUUUUGUUAAAGGCAUUUCUGUCACACGUCAAUGACACUGAGAAUCAUUGUUGUAAAGCUGUUUACCUUCAUGUGUUGUCGACAAAUGCUGGAGCUGUUCUGUUGUAUGAACGGCAUCAGUUUCUAAGGCAUAAACACUUGCCAUUGUAUUAUGCAAUCCAAGGUACAAGAAUGGAUGGUUAUUGUUACGUAAUUUAUGCUAAUGGUGGUUGUCCUCCUUGGACCACUUUGUAUCUUUUUCAAUAUGGUUAGCAGAGUUAAUUGUAACAAUACUAUGAUUGAAUCAACUCUGCUUAGAAACAGAGUCUAGAUACAACAAUGCAAGAGACUUCAUCAGUGCCACAACUAAUUACUUUUCACAGUUUGCGUUCUGUCGUGCAUCAAGUUAUUUAAUGUCACGACUGUGGGUGCUGCCACGUAAAAUAUUGCUAGGUCAAAAAAGUAGUCGAAUAAUUCGAAAUUUGUAAAUAAAUUUUAAAGAAAUAAGUUUUUCAUCCUUGUAAUAUUAAUGUUUUUUUUACGUAGCAAAUAUAUCACUGAAACUGAAUAA